AGAUGACAGACUGAGAGCUUCAUGGGCAGCUCCUAUCUCUGAGCUGAAUGUUCCCAGGCCUUGGCCGAGGCACACAAGCUCCCCAUCUGUGGUCUCCUUUUCUGUUGUAAAUGUGAAGGAAAAUGUAAGGUGGCUUUGCUUAAGCCAAAUCUUUUUGGCUUUUGGAGGAUAAAUUACAUCUGUUCUUUCUACAGGUUUUAUACAUUAGAUACAAAUAGUAAUAAUUGCUAUGUGAUUACUGAUUAAAAGAAACCUUUUUAUUUUUCCUCAUUGCAGUCCCAUGCAUGUUUUUUCAAGGAUAUUUAAUCAGGCAGACAUUCUGAAGAACAACCAAAAAUCGUGUUUUAGUUGAAAGAUUAGAAAAACAGUAUUCCAUGCACCAUUUUGCGUAAGAACAAUUUACACAUCACCUCCACUUCUAUACAGUUGGAUCAUUUCUGUGCAGCGCAUUGAAGUCAAUGGGAGUGUUGGCAUUGAUUUGUGCAGGCUUUCAUCAGGCCAUGUGUACACAUGACUUUAAACUGGAAGACAGAAAUUUUUGUGAUGGAGGAUUACUGAAUGACAAGUAGUGUUCCUUCAUGGAAAGAAGCCACAGAAGGUUUGCUUGCCAGAUGAGACACUGCAGCGGCUUGUGCAAUUUUCUUCUGUGCCUAAGUUCUGAAGGAUCAGGAUAUCUUCCAGUCAGAACAGUCUUGCAGUUCAGUUUCAG
rnacentral:lncRNA from 1 species